GGGUUGUGAGGUUAAGCGACUAAGCGUACACGGUGGAUGCCCUGGCAGUCAGAGGCGAUGAAGGACGUGCUAAUCUGCGAUAAGCGUCGGUAAGGUGAUAUGAACCGUUAUAACCGGCGAUUUCCGAAUGGGGAAACCCAGUGUGAUUCGUCACACUAUCAUUAACUGAAUCCAUAGGUUAAUGAGGCGAACCGGGGGAACUGAAACAUCUAAGUACCCCGAGGAAAAGAAAUCAACCGAGAUUCCCCCAGUAGCGGCGAGCGAACGGGGAGCAGCCCAGAGCCUGAAUCAGUGUGUGUGUUAGUGGAAGCGUCUGGAAAGGCGCGCGAUACAGGGUGACAGCCCCGUACACAAAAAUGCACAUGCUGUGAGCUCGAUGAGUAGGGCGGGACACGUGGUAUCCUGUCUGAAUAUGGGGGGACCAUCCUCCAAGGCUAAAUACUCCUGACUGACCGAUAGUGAACCAGUACCGUGAGGGAAAGGCGAAAAGAACCCCGGCGAGGGGAGUGAAAAAGAACCUGAAACCGUGUACGUACAAGCAGUGGGAGCCUCUUAAUGGGGUGACUGCGUACCUUUUGUAUAAUGGGUCAGCGACUUAUAUUCUGUAGCAAGGUUAACCGAAUAGGGGAGCCGAAGGGAAACCGAGUCUUAACUGGGCGUUAAGUUGCAGGGUAUAGACCCGAAACCCGGUGAUCUAGCCAUGGGCAGGUUGAAGGUUGGGUAACACUAACUGGAGGACCGAACCGACUAAUGUUGAAAAAUUAGCGGAUGACUUGUGGCUGGGGGUGAAAGGCCAAUCAAACCGGGAGAUAGCUGGUUCUCCCCGAAAGCUAUUUAGGUAGCGCCUCGUGAAUUCAUCUCCGGGGGUAGAGCACUGUUUCGGCAAGGGGGUCAUCCCGACUUACCAACCCGAUGCAAACUGCGAAUACCGGAGAAUGUUAUCACGGGAGACACACGGCGGGUGCUAACGUCCGUCGUGAAGAGGGAAACAACCCAGACCGCCAGCUAAGGUCCCAAAGUCAUGGUUAAGUGGGAAACGAUGUGGGAAGGCCCAGACAGCCAGGAUGUUGGCUUAGAAGCAGCCAUCAUUUAAAGAAAGCGUAAUAGCUCACUGGUCGAGUCGGCCUGCGCGGAAGAUGUAACGGGGCUAAACCAUGCACCGAAGCUGCGGCAGCGACACUUAUGUGUUGUUGGGUAGGGGAGCGUUCUGUAAGCCUGCGAAGGUGUGCUGUGAGGCAUGCUGGAGGUAUCAGAAGUGCGAAUGCUGACAUAAGUAACGAUAAAGCGGGUGAAAAGCCCGCUCGCCGGAAGACCAAGGGUUCCUGUCCAACGUUAAUCGGGGCAGGGUGAGUCGACCCCUAAGGCGAGGCCGAAAGGCGUAGUCGAUGGGAAACAGGUUAAUAUUCCUGUACUUGGUGUUACUGCGAAGGGGGGACGGAGAAGGCUAUGUUGGCCGGGCGACGGUUGUCCCGGUUUAAGCGUGUAGGCUGGUUUUCCAGGCAAAUCCGGAAAAUCAAGGCUGAGGCGUGAUGACGAGGCACUACGGUGCUGAAGCAACAAAUGCCCUGCUUCCAGGAAAAGCCUCUAAGCAUCAGGUAACAUCAAAUCGUACCCCAAACCGACACAGGUGGUCAGGUAGAGAAUACCAAGGCGCUUGAGAGAACUCGGGUGAAGGAACUAGGCAAAAUGGUGCCGUAACUUCGGGAGAAGGCACGCUGAUA
rnacentral:rRNA from 2 species